rnacentral:rRNA from 1 species
AACGAACGCUGGCGGCAGGCCUAACACAUGCAAGUCGAGCGAGGACUUCGGUCCUAGCGGCGGACGGGUGAGUAAAGCGUGGGAACGUGCCCUUUGCUACGGAAUAGCCCCGGGAAACUGGGAGUAAUACGGUAUGUGCGCGAGAGGGGAAAGAUUUAUCGGCAAAGGAUCGGCCCGCGUUGGAUUAGGUAGUUGGUGGGGUAAUGGCCUACCAAGCCGACGAUCCAUAGGUGGUUUGAGAGGAUGAUCAGCCACACUGGGACUGAGACACGGCCCAGACUCCUACGGGAGGCAGCAGUGGGGAAUCUUAGACAAUGGGGGAAACCCUGAUCUAGCCAUGCCGCGUGAGCGAUGAAGGCCUUAGGGUUGUAAAGCUCUUUCAGUGGGGAAGAUAAUGACGGUACCCACAGAAGAAGCCCCGGCUAACUCCGUGCCAGCAGCCGCAGUAAUAC